rnacentral:rRNA from 1 species
GCGGCGUGCUUAACACAUGCAAGUCGAACGAGAGGAUAUGGAAAGCUUGCUUUCUAUAAAAUCUAGUGGCAAACGGGUGAGUAACGCGUAAACAACCUGCCCUUCGGAUGGGGACAACAGCUGGAGACGGCUGCUAAUACCGAAUACGUUCUUUUCAUCGCAUGGUGAGAAGAAGAAAGGACGGCCUCUACACAAAGCGGUCGCCGAAGGAGGGGUUUGCGUCUGAUUAGCUAGUUGGAGGGGUAACGGCCCAACAAGGCGACGAUCAGUAGCCGGUCUGAGAGGAUGAACGGCCACAUUGGGACUGAGACACGGCCCAGACUCCUACGGGAGGCAGCAGUGGGGAAUCUUCCGCAAUGGACGAAAGUCUGACGGAGCAACGCCGCGUGAGUGAAGACGGUCCUCGGAUUGUAAAGCUCUGUUAUACGGGACGAAUGGCAAGGUGGUAAAUAGCCAUCAUGAGUGACGUACCUAAGAAAAGCCACG